rnacentral:rRNA from 1 species
CAGUAGCCGCGGUAAUACGAAGGGGGCUAGCGUUGUUCGGAAUUACUGGGCGUAAAGCGCACGUAGGCGGAUUUUUAAGUCAGGGGUGAAAUCCCGAGGCUCAACCUCGGAACUGCCUUUGAUACUGGAGAUCUUGAGUUCGGAAGAGGUUGGUGGAACAGCUAGUGUAGAGGUGAAAUUCGUAGAUAUUAGCUAGAACACCAGUGGCGAAGGCGGCCAACUGGUCCGAUACUGACGCUGAGGUGCGAAAGCGUGGGGAGCAAACAGGAUUAGAUACCCCUGUAGUCCCUGUCUCUUAUAC